GGGAAGACUUGUGAAUUAUUAACUUCCUCCAAAUCAUAUCGAUUCAAUUCAACUCGUGAAAGUUAGGGUUUGUCGAGAGAGAGAAGAGAGAAGCCUGCGAAGAUGAUAGAGGUGGUGCUCAACGAUCGCCUCGGCAAGAAGGUUCGUGUUAAGUGCAACGACGACGAUACCAUCGGUGACCUCAAGAAGCUCGUCGCCGCUCAGACUGGCACCCGUGCCGACAAGAUCCGUAUCCAGAAGUGGUAUAACAUCUACAAGGACCACAUCACCCUUAAGGACUACGAGAUCCACGACGGCAUGGGCCUCGAGCUCUACUACAAUUGACCUCCAAUCCCUCCUCCACUCUUGUGGCUAUGGAUGGGCUUGGCUGCAGACUUUGAGAGAGGAUUCUGUGCAACAUUUGUUAGCUAUUUGAAAAACGGAUCUAUGUUCGUGUGUUUUCAAUUUCUACAGGAGUCCCUGUAUUUAUGGUUGAACUUGCCACUUGCUGUAUUCUACAUUAUUACCUACAUAAGAUACCCUGGUAGUAUUGUUUUAAAUUAAGAUGUAAAAUGAUGACAUAAUACUUUUAGUUGCGAUCUGCUUGCAUGCGGUGAUGGUUGUGUUUGGCAUGUAUGAACCUAGCUUAUGUAUUUUGAGUUUUUUAGGUUGGGUCAGGAAAUCCUUUGUAACUAUAGUCAGGUGUACUUUCCUUUUUAUUGAAAAUUAGAAACUUUUCUUCUCAUCA